rnacentral:rRNA from 1 species
UCGGAUUGUAGUCUGCAACCCGACUACAUGAAGCCGGAAUCGCUAGUAAUCGCGGAUCAGAAUGCCGCGGUGAAUACGUUCCCGGGUCUUGUACACACCGCCCGUCACACCAUGGGAGUCGGAAAUGCCCGAAGUCUGUGACCCAACCGUAAGGAGGGAGCAGCCGAAGGCAGGUCGGAUGACUGGGGUGAAGUCGUAACAAGGUAAC